rnacentral:rRNA from 1 species
AUUGAACGCUGGCGGCAUGCCUUACACAUGCAAGUCGAACGGCAGCACGGGGCAACCUGGUGGCGAGUGGCGAACGGGUGAGUAAUGCAUCGGAACGUACCUUUCAGUGGGGGAUAACGUAGCGAAAGUUACGCUAAUACCGCAUAUUCUGUGAGCAGGAAAGCAGGGGCUCGCAAGACCUUGCGCUGAUUGAGCGGCCGAUGUCAGAUUAGCUAGUUGGUGAGGUAAAGGCUCACCAAGGCGACGAUCUGUAGCGGGUCUGAGAGGAUGAUCCGCCACACUGGAACUGAGACACGGUCCAGACUCCUACGGGAGGCAGCAGUGGGGAAUUUUGGACAAUGGGGGCAACCCUGAUCCAGCCACGCCGCGUGAGUGAAGAAGGCCUUCGGGUUGUAAAGCUCUUUCGGCCGGGAAGAAAUCGCACGGGCUAAUACCCUGUGUGGAUGACGGUACCGGAAUAAGAAGCACCGGCUAACUACGUGCCAGCCGCCGCAGUAACAC